GCCUAAAUAACCUGAAGGUACCAGAUCUCAUCAGAUCUUGGAAGCUAAGCAGGAGCAGGUCUGGUUUGUACUUGGAAAGGGGACCAUUAAGAAAUACCAAGUGGUGUAGGCA
rnacentral:rRNA from 1 species